rnacentral:rRNA from 1 species
GGGUUGUGAGGUUAAGCGACUAAGCGUACACGGUGGAUGCCCUGGCAGUCAGAGGCGAUGAAGGACGUGCUAAUCUGCGAUAAGCGCCGGUAAGGUGAUAUGAACCGUUAUAACCGGCGAUUUCCGAAUGGGGAAACCCAGUGUGACUCGUCACACUAUCAUUAACUGAAUCCAUAGGUUAAUGAGGCGAACCGGGGGAACUGAAACAUCUAAGUACCCCGAGGAAAAGAAAUCAACCGAGAUUCCCCCAGUAGCGGCGAGCGAACGGGGAGGAGCCCAGAGCCUGAAUCAGCAUGUGUGUUAGUGGAAGCGUCUGGAAAGGCGCGCGAUACAGGGUGACAGCCCCGUACACAAAAGCGCAUGUGCUGUGAGCUCGAUGAGUAGGGCGGGACACGUGGUA